rnacentral:rRNA from 1 species
ACUCCUACGGGAGGCAGCAGUAGGGAAUCUUCCACAAUGGACGAAAGUCUGAUGGAGCAACGCCGCGUGAGUGAAGAAGGGUUUCGGCUCGUAAAAACUCUGUUUGUUAAAAGAGUAACAUAUCUGAGAGUAACUGUUCAGGUAUUGACGGUAUUUAACCAGAAAGCCACGGCUAACUACGUGCCAGCAGCCGCGGUAAUACGUAGGUGGCAAGCGUUGUCCGGAUUUAUUGGGGCGUAAAGCGAGCGCAGGCGGUUUUUAAAGUCUGAUGUGAAAGCCUUCGGCUCAACCGAAGAAGUGCAUCGGAAACUGGGAAACUUGAGUGCAGAAGAGGACAGGUGGAACUCCAUGUGUAGCGGUGAAAUGCGUAGAUAUAUGGAAGAACACCAGUGGCGAAGGCGGCUGUCUGGUCUGUAACUGACGCUGAGGCUCGAAAGUAUGGGU